CGCAUCUGUGCAUGCAGCAUAUCAAUAAGCGGAGGAAAAGAAACUAACAAGGAUUCCCCUAGUAACGGCGAGUGAAGCGGGAAGAGCUCAAAUUUGAAAUCUUAAAGGGUUUCCCUUUACGAAUUGUAGUUUAAAGAAGUGUUUUCUGUUGAGGUUUUGGUAAAAGUUCUUUGGAAUAGGACAUCAUAGAGGGUGAGAAUCCCGUAUUUGACCUUUACUUUCAACUUUGUGAUACACUUUCAAAGAGUCGGAUUGUUUGGGAAUGCAGUCCAAAAUGGGUGGUAAAUUUCAUCUAAAGCUAAAUAUUGGCGAGAGACCGAUAGCGAACAAGUACCGUGAGGGAAAGAUGAACAGAACUUUGAAAAGAGAGUUAAACAGUACGUGAAAUUGUCAAAAGGGAAGCGUUUGACACCAGUGUUGUUUUUCUGAAAAUCAAUUAAAGAACUGUUUAUGCUAAGUUGUUUAGACUUUACUCAGCUAACUGUUUAGUUUUGAGCUUUUCUUUAAUGCACUUUUCAGUUAACAAGUCAACAUCAAUUUCUUUUGCUGUAAAAAAGCUUGAGGAAGGUGGCUUGAGAUUCGUCUUAAGUGUUUAUAGCCUCUUGCCUAUGCAGUCGGAGAGAUUGAGGUCUGCAGCGUAGAUCCUUCGGGGCUAAAUGCAUUUGUGCUAAGUUAUAGCAUUUUAUAGACAACUUGUUGACUAUGAUUUGUCUUGUAGCUUACUCGCUUAUGUUAUUUUACCUACGCUUAGGAUGUUGAGCGCAUGUCUCUCUCU
rnacentral:rRNA from 1 species